AAAUUGCACGCCGCCGUACGUAAGGAUAAUAUCUUCAAGGACAAGUGCAAAUAGUCUACUGGCACAUAAGUGGGGACAGUGACCCUACACAGAAAGGAACCGUGUGCCACGAGGUGAGGUGUAGAGAUGAAAGAGGAAGAAGAGGGGAAAAAAAGCCCUCUGAAGUCUCCUGUCUUCCCAUCCUGCCUUGAGAGCAUCCUGCCCGUCUCGCCCCGGAGCAGGAGAAGGACAGACAAUGAAAUGAGGUCCUGGGGCUUCCCCCCCAUACCAUGGGGCAUUUCCCGGCAGCGCGUGGACAGGUUGAGGAUGGCCGUGG